CAAGAGAUGGAUAUAGUAGAGUCAUUCUUCCUUCUUGGGGAACUAAGUUUCCCAAGUUUCUCCAUCCAACUGGUUUUGCUACUUAAUGAGCAGAGACUUUCUGGAAUGAUUAUCUUAAGUGCACCUGCAGCUAACCUACAACUGCUCUACAUAGAAGACUUGCCCAGGAGAACUGCUGUUUGGUGGUGAAAUGUUUGGUUCUAGGAAACACUCUGCUCUCCCAAUGGCCCUCCAGAACCAGGAAAUUUUCUAGUUGAAUUCCUAAGUGACAGUCUUCAAUAUGCUGCAGAUGUUCAGAUGCUGGGAG
rnacentral:lncRNA from 1 species